UGAUCAUUGAAGCUGUAUAACUCUGGCAGUGUCUGUGUGUGGGAAAAUGUGCUCCUCAGACAUCACCAGACACCUGAUGGACAGCACAGAUCUCCUGUAUCAUUUAUUGGCAUCGGAGCAACCAAGAAAGUGACGUCACGGUGGAACACAUACUGCGUUCCACAUCCUCGGAAGUGACGCGACUUCCUUCCGGCAUUGGCAACUGCGUCCUCAUGGCAAAGGCUGGAUCACUCCAUCUAUUGGGACUUUAUGUGGGUUACCCAGAGGUAUUUACCCCACUAUAUCAGGUACUGGUAUCUUCAAGGUCCUGAUGCCUGCCACUUCCUGCAUGUAUAUCUACAGGAGUCUGUGGUGCUCUCUACUUUAAAUUCAUCUGCACAACCAAAAGGGUCCUACCACACGGAUUUAAUAUAUAUGG